GACGAACGCUGGCGGCGUGCCUAAUACAUGCAAGUCGAGCGGACUUUCAAGAAGCUUGCUUUUUGAAAGUUAGCGGCGGACGGGUGAAUAACACGAGGGCAACCUGCCUGUAAGACGGGGAUAACCCCGGGAAACCGGGGCUAAUACCGGAUAAUAUCUUUCUUCGCAUGAAGGAAGGUUGAAAGGCGGCGCAAGCUGCCGCUUGCAGAUGGGCCCGCGGCGCAUUAGCUAGUUGGUGAGGUAACGGCUCACCAAGGCGACGAUGCGUAGCCGACCUGAGAGGGUGAUCGGCCACACUGGGACUGAGACACGGCCCAGACUCCUACGGGAGGCAGCAGUAGGGAAUCUUCCGCAAUGGACGAAAGUCUGACGGAGCAACGCCGCGUGAGCGAAGAAGGUCUUCGGAUCGUAAAGCUCUGUUGUCAGGGAAGAACAAGUACCGUUCGAAUAGGGCGGUACCUUGACGGUACCUGACCAGAAAGCCACGGCUAACUACGUGCCAGCAGCCGCCGUAA
rnacentral:rRNA from 1 species